UGGAGGACUGAGAAGGUUUAGCAGCCUAUUUUAUGCUGUUAAAACUGGUUAUAACCUCCAAGAGAAUCACUGAACCAACACAACUUACUGGCUCUGUGUGACACACCAGUGCUGCUUGAUGUUUUGGUUAACACUGG